rnacentral:tRNA from 1 species
GGCCCUGGGGUGUUAACAUGUGGGGUUGCAAACCCUAAGAUGCAGGAUAAUACCUGCCGGGGCUU